CAAGCACAACAAAGCCAUGGAAACAUGGUUUUCAUUUAGAUAACAUUUUAUUUCUUUCUCCAAUUCCUUAAGAAACUUUCGAAACACUCAACUUAUGUUGCAGUCAUUGUAAAAAUGUUUUUUUUUAAUUAAUUUAACAUUUAUUCAAAAAAAAAAAAAACAGCCCACGGCCCAAAUACCAAAACCAACCAAAACCUAAACUAACGGCCCAAAUGCCCACAAACCCAAACCUCGACACUACCCAAAUCCAGGAGCCCGUGUCGGCUUAACCUCAUCCCGUCUCAUCCCGGCGGUUCUGUCGAACGGCUCUAAACCAUCGAACAUGUCACGGAGAGCGUCAUCGGACUAACCGAGAGCUCAUCCCAAUCAUACACGCCACCUCUGCUUUCCUUCUCUUGUCGUUGUCACCGUCGAUGGAGAGCUUCAUCUUCUACCGUGAGCUCAUCCAUUCAUACCCGAACAACCACCCUGGCUACAAAAGCCACACCGCAAAUUCCACCCAAUCCAGACUAGUAAAAAAAACAAAAAAAACCCCAAAGGAGAACGGAGACCUAAUCCGACAGCGUAGAGCUAUGUGGGCCUCUACCCUCCGGAGCCAAAACCGGUGAAGACGGAGCAGAGAAAGCCUCCCAUUCCCGGGAACUAGAACCGGCGGCGGCGAAGCUGAAGGAGCCUCCACCUCCCGGAAAAAAGCCGGCGUCGACGGAUCUGUGAUAGCCUCCAUCUCCCGGAAUCACCACUGACACAUGCAAGCCAAUCUUCACACGCCGUGAGCCUCCACGCGAGCGCGUCUUCCCUCCACGCGAGGAACCACCGUUGGAGGAUGGUUCCAAUCCAG
rnacentral:lncRNA from 1 species